AAAUAAACCUGAUAGAACGGAUGCUCCCGAUUCUUCAUCGGAGCAGGAGGGAUAGCAGGACUGUCA
rnacentral:sRNA from 1 species